rnacentral:rRNA from 1 species
GCAGUUGGACGAGAAGGCUGAUUUCGGUUGGCCGAGUAAAGUAGCGCACGGGUGAGUAACGCGUAGGCAACCUACCCUUGUAUUGGGGAUAACCCCGCGAAAGCGGGGCUAAUACCGAAUGAGACCCUACCCUGGUGGGGGUGGGGUGAAAGUCAGCCACUCGGAGAAGCUGACGUACGAGGAUGGGCCUGCGUCCUAUCAGCUAGUUGGUGGGGUAGCGGCCUACCAAGGCGACGACGGGUAGCUGGUCUGAGAGGAUGAUCAGCCACACUGGCACUGGAACACGGGCCAGACUCCUACGGGAGGCAGCAGUGAGGAAUUUUGCGCAAUGGCCGCAAGGCUGACGCAGCAACGCCGCGUGGGUGAUGAAGGCCUUCGGGUCGUAAAGCCCUGUCAGGUGGGAAGAAAGGCUUGAUUGGGAAUACCGGUUGAGUUUGACGGUACCACCAGAGGAAGCACCGGCUAACUCCGUGCCAGCAGCCGCGGUAAUACGGAGGGUGCGAGCGUUAUUCGGAAUUACUGGGCGUAAAGCGCGUGUAGGCGGGGAAGCAAGUCUGAUGUGAAAGCCCUGGGCUUAACCUGGGAAGUGCAUUGGAAACUGCUUUUCUUGAGUACUGGAGAGGAAGGGGGAAUUCCCGGUGUAGAGGUGAAAUUCGUAGAGAUCGGGAGGAAUACCAGUGGCGUAGGCGCCCUUCUGGACGGUUACUGACGCUGAGACGCGAAAGCGUGGGGAGCAAACAGGAUUAGAUACCCUGGUAGUCCACGCUGUAAACGAUGAUCACUAGGUGUAGCGGGUACUCAUUCCUGCUGUGCCGUAGCUAACGCGUUAAGUGAUCCGCCUGGGGAUUACGGUCGCAAGACUAAA